rnacentral:snRNA from 1 species
GGGCUCCAGUUGGCAGCACAGGCACUAAAAUUGGAAAGAGACAGAAAAUUAGCAUGGCCUCUGCAUGAGGAUGGACAGUCAGAGCUCUGGAUGAUGCUUCAAGUCUAA